AGCCUGGUGGUGUACUGGUAACACGUCCUCUCCAAAUGCAUAACCCUUUGACUAAGUCAAGAGGAAGAACCCUGUUCGAUUCGGGGUCGGGCUG